CUUGCAAACCUAAGAGAGUCCACAAGAUUGCAUUUAAAAACUCAUUUUGGCACCAUCCAAUGCACAAUCCAGCCCUGGUUCUGCCUGGAAUCCCAGAACCUCAUCUGCCUAACCCUGGAUCCAAUGAAGAACUGAGCACUGGAUUUUUCACCUAUUCAUUGGUUUAUGGUUAAGAGUACAUCCAGAGACUCGCUGAUGAAGUGCAUUUGCCUUCCACUCAAUGAGAUAGUGACGAAUAUCUGCAUUUUACAGGAACCAGUACUCAUCCUAAACAUCACGGGAGCAACAGUAGUGGGAAGUAGCUUCCUUCACCUCCAUCUGGCCAGGAAAUGAUGAUGAUAAUAAUGACCCCGAGGGCUAACGUGUAGAUUUCACAGUGAUCAAUGGCUGCCACCUCCAGACUUUAUAACUCACUGUACAUAGGGCUAAAUGUGAAGCUGCAAUGGAAACUCAAACCCAUGCAGAACACAGCAGCUCCUCUCCUUGGCUGGAAAAAUCAUUGAGAGCAUGUACGAGAGUUCUGCAUCUGCCACUGGUUCCACUUCAGGGCAUAGAUCAACACCCUGAUGUCAACCUUUAAGGAUCUCUGUGAGCUGUGGUACAGCAACAUCAGAGACGGCCUGUCCAGUCAUGGCCCACAGAGACAGCUCUGUGUCUCUGGGAGAAUGCAGCUGAUAGUGCUCAGAGUGACUUUACAGAACCAGUGAUAAGAUGUCCUUUGCUGAGAGUACUGGGAUCCUCCUACUUUUGAGGGGCCUAGAGCCCAGGCUCCAGUUUGAGCCCCAAUAUCUACACUGCAAUUAAGCAGCCCUGUGAGCCCAAGCCCCGUGAGGCCAAAUCAGCUGGCAUGGGCCAGCCAUGGGUUUUUAAAAUUGUAAUGUAGACACCCCGCUCAGCCGUCACUUGGUUUCUGCCUGCUUUUAGGGUUGUAUCAGCAGCAUCUAAGAAUAAACCUGUUUAGCCUGUUUUUAAAUGGGUUAAGUAUAACUGCAGAAAUCAAGUCAUUGGUAGCGCAAAGUAAUGAAGAACAUGCAUCUAGAAGUAGCAUCCCCUGUGUAUCCUAGUGGGUACCUCCAAGUUUCUAGCCAGAGGCCCCGCUCCCUAGUUUGAGGUACUCUGAGAACUGCUGUUAAUUUUCACAGAGUAUCAGUAGUGGCAGAAAGUUUAACCCAGAUAACUUUGGAAGUGGCGAUACAGUUGAAAAAUUCCCUACAUUCAAUGUUCCUUUCUGUGUGUCUCUCUCUCUUAUGUAUACAUACACAUACAGACUCUAAGGAUGCUGAACUUUGCUAUAAAACAGGAACACAGGCUGCAAGAGCACCUUUUAUUCUUAUGCUGCGUGUACCUUUUAAAUUUAUCUAGACGUAGAUCUUUGAUUCAA